rnacentral:rRNA from 1 species
UGGGGAAUAUUGUGCAAUGGGGGAAACUCUGAUGCAGCAGCGCCGCGUGGGGGAGGAAGGUGUUCGGAUUGUAAAACUCUGUCUUUGGGGACGAUAAUGACGGUAACGAAGGAGGAAGCGGAGGCUAAGUACGUGAAAGAAGCCGCGGUAAUAGUCA